GAUGAACGCUGGCGGCGUGCCUAAUACAUGCAAGUCGAGCGAACGGACGAGAAGCUUGCUUCUCUGAUGUUAGCGGCAGACAGGUGAGUAACACGUGGAUAACCUACCUAUAAGACUGGGAUAACUUCGGGAAACCGGAGCUAAUACCGGAUAAUAUUUUGAACCGCAUGGUUCAAAAGUGAAAGACGGUCUUGCUGUCACUUAUAGAUGGAUCCGCGCUGCAUUAGCUAGUUGGUAAGGUAACGGCUUACCAAGGCAACGAUGCAUAGCCGACCUGAGAGGGUGAUCGGCCACACUGGAACUGAGACACGGUCCAGACUCCUACGGGAGGCAGCAGUAGGGAAUCUUCCGCAAUGGGCGAAAGCCUGACGGAGCAACGCCGCGUGAGUGAUGAAGGUCUUCGGAUCGUAAAACUCUGUUAUUAGGGAAGAACAUAUGUGUAAGUAACUGUGCACAUCUUGACGGUACCUAAUCAGAAAGCCACGGCUAACUACGUG
rnacentral:rRNA from 1 species